AACUUUCGGCAACGGAUCACUUGGUUCUCGCAUCGAUGAAGAACGCAGCGAAACGCGAUAGGUAAUGUGAAUUGCGGAAUUCCGUGAAUCAUCGAAUCUUUGAACGCACAUUGCGCCUUCUGGUAUUCCGGUAGGCAUGCCUGUUUGAGCGUCAGCAAAACACCCUCAGCCCGAGUAUUUUUAACCGGAUAUUCGACGCUGGUCUUGGGCAGUGGAUGCCGGUGGUCUUUAAUAUGCCAUCCUGCGCCCUCCCUAAACUUGCUGCACGACCGCGAGCCCCUUCUAGCCAGGUCAAUGGAGUGGUGUUACAAUCUUCCAAAAAGCCUGCUGGGAAACUGCUUUGCGGCGUUAAAUACCAGUUGUCUCCCCCUGCAAGGAGAGACCGAAAUUUUGACCUCAGAUCAGACAAGGAUACCCGCUGAACUUAAGCAUAUCAAUAAGCGGAGGCU
rnacentral:misc_RNA from 1 species